rnacentral:rRNA from 1 species
GGCGGCGUGCUUAACACAUGCAAGUCGAACGGAAAGGCUCCUUCGGGGGUACUCGAGUGGCGAACGGGUGAGUAACACGUGGGUGAUCUGCCCUGCACUUUGGGAUAAGCCUGGGAAACUGGGUCUAAUACCGGAUAGGACCGCGCCAUGCAUGUGGUGUGGUGGAAAGCUAUUUGCGGUGUGGGAUGGGCCCGCGGCCUAUCAGCUUGUUGGUGGGGUGAUGGCCUACCAAGGCGACGACGGGUAGCCGGCCUGAGAGGGUGUCCGGCCACACUGGGACUGAGAUACGGCCCAGACUCCUACGGGAGGCAGCAGUGGGGAAUAUUGCACAAUGGGCGCAAGCCUGAUGCAGCGACGCCGCGUGGGGGAUGACGGCCUUCGGGUUGUAAACCUCUUUCACCAUCGGC